AUAUGGAUUUUUUUUCCGGGCGGGUAGGUAGUUUCUUAUGUGUUUUGUUUAUCGACGAUUUUCUUCAUAUCAAUUGAAUAAAUCAAAAAUUCUUUCAGUAACUAUUUGCAGCCUGAUUUUAAUAUUACUAGAUUCUUAGAUUUUAUAUAUGCAGCACUACAGCGUUAUAUUGCAACAUGCCACACUCAAAAGAAGUUACCGAAGCACACCGUCGGUAUAUUUUUUGUUUGAAUUUUCUUAAAUAUAUACCUUCUACAGAGGUUAAAAGCUAAUUAGUACUAAGACCUAUGGAUUUGGUGAAGCCGCUUCAAGCCAUUUCCUCUUCCACCUACGCCAUGCACCUGAAAAUCAAA